rnacentral:rRNA from 1 species
UUAUCAGGAGUUUGAUCCUGGCUCAGGACGAACGCUGGCGGCGUGCCUAAUACAUGCAAGUCGAGCGGACAGAUGGGAGCUUGCUCCCUGAUGUUAGCGGCGGACGGGUGAGUAACACGUGGGUAACCUGCCUGUAAGACUGGGAUAAUCCGGGAAACCGGGGCUAAUACCGGAUGGUUGUUUGAACCGCAUGGUUCAGACAUAAAAGGUGGCUUCGGCUACCACUUACAGAUGGACCCGCGGCGCAUUAGCUAGUUGGUGAGGUAACGGCUCACCAAGGCGACGAUGCGUAGCCGACCUGAGAGGGUGAUCGGCCACACUGGGACUGAGACACGGCCCAGACUCCUACGGGAGGCAGCAGUAGGGAAUCUUCCGCAAUGGACGAAAGUCUGACGGAGCAACGCCGCGUGAGUGAUGAAGGUUUUCGGAUCGUAAAGCUCUGUUGUUAGGGAAGAACAAGUGCCGUUCAAAUAGGGCGGCACCUUGACGGUACCUAACCAGAAAGCCACGGCUAACUACGUGCCAGCAGCCGCGGUAAUACGUAGGUGGCAAGCGUUGUCCGGAAUUAUUGGGCGUAAAGGGCUCGCAGGCGGUUUCUUAAGUCUGAUGUGAAAGCCCCCGGCUCAACCGGGGAGGGUCAUUGGAAACUGGGGAACUUGAGUGCAGAAGAGGAGAGUGGAAUUCCACGUGUAGCGGUGAAAUGCGUAGAGAUGUGGAGGAACACCAGUGGCGAAGGCGACUCUCUGGUCUGUAACUGACGCUGAGGAGCGAAAGCGUGGGGAGCGAACAGGAUUAGAUACCCUGGUAGUCCACGCCGUAAACGAUGAGUGCUAAGUGUUAGGGGGUUUCCGCCCCUUAGUGCUGCAGCUAACGCAUUAAGCACUCCGCCUGGGGAGUACGGUCGCAAGACUGAAACUCAAAGGAAUUGACGGGGGCCCGCACAAGCGGUGGAGCAUGUGGUUUAAUUCGAAGCAACGCGAAGAACCUUACCAGGUCUUGACAUCCUCUGACAAUCCUAGAGAUAGGACGUCCCCUUCGGGGGCAGAGUGACAGGUGGUGCAUGGUUGUCGUCAGCUCGUGUCGUGAGAUGUUGGGUUAAGUCCCGCAACGAGCGCAACCCUUGAUCUUAGUUGCCAG